UACGGGGGGGGUAAGCGUUGUUCGGAAUUACUGGGUGUAAAGGGCUCGUAGGUGGCCAACUAAGUCACACGUGAAAUCCCUCGGCUUAACCGGGGAACUGCGUGUGAUACUGGAUGGCUUGAGUUUGGGAGAGGGAUGCGGAAUUCCAGGUGUAGCGGUGAAAUGCGCAGAUAUCAGGAGGAACACCCGUGGCGAAGGCGGCUCUCUGGGACGGUACUGACGCUGAGACGCGAAAGCGUGGGGAGCGAACAGG
rnacentral:rRNA from 1 species